rnacentral:rRNA from 1 species
ACGAGAAUUUGCGGAAAGAGGAUUCGUCCAAUUGAAGCAGAGGACAGUGGCGGACGGGUGAGUAACGCGUGAGGAACCUGCCUUUCAGAGGGGGACAACAGUUGGAAACGACUGCUAAUACCGCAUGACAUAUAGAUGUCGCAUGGCAUUUAUAUCAAAGAUUUAUCGCUGAAAGAUGGCCUCGCGUCUGAUUAGCUAGUUGGUGAGGUAACGGCCCACCAAGGCGACGAUCAGUAGCCGGACUGAGAGGUUGAACGGCCACAUUGGGACUGAGAUACGGCCCAGACUCCUACGGGAGGCAGCAGUGGGGAAUAUUGGGCAAUGGGCGCAAGCCUGACCCAGCAACGCCGCGUGAAGGAAGAAGGCUUUCGGGUUGUAAACUUCUUUUGUCAGGGACGAGUAGAAGACGGUACCUGACGAAUAAGCCACGGCUAACUACGUGCCAGCAGCCGCGGUAAUACGUAGGUGGCAAGCGUUGUCCGGAUUUACUGGGUGUAAAGGGCGUGUAGCCGGGAGGGCAAGUCAGAUGUGAAAUCCACGGGCUCAACUCGUGAACUGCAUUUGAAACUACUCUUCUUGAGUAUCGGAGAGGCAAUCGGAAUUCCUAGUGUAGCGGUGAAAUGCGUAGAUAUUAG